rnacentral:rRNA from 1 species
AUUGAACGCUGGCGGCAGGCCUAACACAUGCAAGUCGAGCGAGCGGCGGACGGGUGAGUAAUGUCUGGGAAACUGCCUGAUGGAGGGGGAUAACUACUGGAAACGGUAGCUAAUCCCCCAUACCAUCAGAUGUGCCCAGAUGGGAUUAGCUAGUAGGUGGGGUAACGGCUCACCUAGGCGACGAUCCCUGACUGGUCUGAUAGGCUGAUCAGCCACACUGGAACUGAGACACGGUCCAGACUCCUACGGGAGGCAGCAGUGGGGAAUAUUGCACAAUGGGCGCAAGCCUGAUGCAGCCAUGCCGCGUGUGUGAAGAAGGCCUUCGGGUUGUAAAGCACUUUCAGCGGGGAGGCGUUACCCGCAGAAGAAGCACCGGCUAACUCCGUGCCAGCAGCCGCGGUAAUAC